rnacentral:rRNA from 1 species
UAGGGAAUCUUCCACAAUGGACGCAAGUCUGAUGGAGCAACGCCGCGUGAGUGAAGAAGGUUUUCGGACCGUAAAGCUCUGUUGUUGGUGAAGAAGGAUAGAGGUAGUAACUGGCCUUUAUUUGACGGUAAUCAACCAGAAAGUCACGGCUAACUACGUGCCAGCAGCCGCGGUAAUACGUAGGUGGCAAAGCGUUGUCCGGAUUUAUUGGGCGUAAAAGCGAGCGCAGGCGGAAGAAUAAGUCUGAUGUGAAAGCCCUCGGCUUAACCGAGGAAUUGCAUCGGA